rnacentral:tRNA from 1 species
GAGCAUUUGGACUAGUGGUUAUUGUUUUGCUUAAAUAACAAUAAGACCUGGGUUCUAAUCCCAGCAUCUCCA